AGCGAACGCUGGCGGCAGGCCUAACACAUGCAAGUCGAACGAACUCUUCGGAGUUAGUGGCGGACGGGUGAGUAACACGUGGGAACGUGCCUUUAGGUUCGGAAUAACUCAGGGAAACUUGUGCUAAUACCGAAUGUGCCCUUCGGGGGAAAGAUUUAUCGCCUUUAGAGCGGCCCGCGUCUGAUUAGCUAGUUGGUGAGGUAAAGGCUCACCAAGGCGACGAUCAGUAGCUGGUCUGAGAGGAUGAUCAGCCACAUUGGGACUGAGACACGGCCCAAACUCCUACGGGAGGCAGCAGUGGGGAAUCUUGCGCAAUGGGCGAAAGCCUGACGCAGCCAUGCCGCGUGAAUGAUGAAGGUCUUAGGAUUAUAAAAUUCUUUCACCGGGGACGAUAAUGACGGUACCCGGAGAAGAAGCCCCGGCUAACUUCGUG
rnacentral:rRNA from 1 species